rnacentral:rRNA from 1 species
GACGAACGCUGGCGGCGUGCCUAAUACAUGCAAGUAGAACGCUGAAGCUUGGUGCUUGCACCGAGCGGAUGAGUUGCGAACGGGUGAGUAACGCGUAGGUAACCUGCCUGGUAGCGGGGGAUAACUAUUGGAAACGAUAGCUAAUACCGCAUAAGAUUAGAUGUUGCAUGACAUUUGCUUAAAAGGUGCAAUUGCAUCACUACCAGAUGGACUUGCGUUGUAUUAGCUAGUUGGUGAGGUAACGGCUCACCAAGGCAACGAUACAUUGCCGACCUGGGAGGGUGAUCGGCCACACUGGGACUGAGACACGGCCCAGGCUCCUACGGGAGGCAGCAGUAGGGGAUCUUCGGCAAUGGACGGAAGGCUGACCGAGCAAAGCCGCGGGAGUGAAGGAGGUUUUCGGAUCGUAAAGCUCUGUUGUAAGAGAAGAACGAGUGUGAGAGUGGAAAGUUCACACUGUGACGGUAUCUUACCAGAAAGGGACGGCUAACUACGUG